rnacentral:sRNA from 1 species
GCGAUGAGCUGAGUUGUGUAAGCCGAAGAACAUUCCUUUUGGAACACACAAUGUGGAGUGUGGUUCUUCGCCUCAAUACGCGAGAGACGCCAGUAUAACUGGCGUC